AGCUACAACCACACAGUCAUGUGACACUCCCAGAUACAAGUCUUCAUCUCUGUGUUGGGAUAUCAGAGCUCCCAUCACACACACUGACAGUGUCUGUGGUCUCUGAGUUCAGUCUUCUUACAACUCAAUCAUGAUCACAGUUGCUCUGAUCAAACUCUCUGCAGCUCUGCUCUGUAUUGGAGGUUUAACUGAUGGGACUGAUGUCAACCAGACUCCUCUGCUGUGGAUGAACGAGGGCCAGUCUGCAACAAUGAACUGUAACCACAAGGAUGCUUCUUACUACCAGAUGUACUGGUAUCAACAGCUGCCAGGAGAAGGAAUGAAGGAAAUAGUUUUUACUGUAGAAAAUUCUCCACAUAAAUAUACAAACGGCUUCAGUGAGGAGAAAUUCCCAGCAGAGAAGAAAAAUGCUCUGACUGGAUCUCUGACAGUAAAGAAGCUGGAGCCUGAAGACAGCGGAGUGUAUUUCUGUGCUGUGAGUGGAGCUCUGGUUCUGGAGACUUUAUCAUUAGAUUUGUUGAAUGUGCUGUGA